AGAGUUUGAUCAUGGCUCAGGAUGAACGCUGGCGGCGUGCCUAAGACAUGCAAGUCGAGUGGGUUUAGACCCACGGCAAACGGGUGAGUAAUACAUAGGAACUUUUCUUAAGUUGAGGAUACCCCAUCGAAAGGUGGUGCAAUACUCAAUGUGAACGCAAGUUUAAAGCAGCAAUGCGCUUAAGGUGAGGCCUGUGCACUAUCAGCUAGUUGGUAAGGUAAUGGCUUACCAAGGCUAUGACAGUUAGCGGGUUCGAGAGGAUGAUCCGCCACACUGGGACUGCGACACGGCCCAGACUCCUACGGGAGGCAGCAGUUUGGAAUUUUGGUCAAUGGGGGAAACCCUGAACCAGCGACGCCGCGUGGACGAAGAAGGCCUUCGGGUUGUAAAGUCCUUUUGUUGGGGAACAAUUUUUGAGUGUACCCAAAGAAUAAGAGGUUGCUAACUCUGUGCCAGCAGCCGCGGUAAUAC
rnacentral:rRNA from 1 species